GAUACGUUUGAUUAGAAAAACUACAUUUCUUGUAGCGUUGGAACAAUGCUGACCUUGUUAAACUAGUUGGUUAUACAUGAUAUAAUUUGUGUUUGAGGACUUUAGGACAGCAUCAUUUUAAAAGGUGAAAUUGAUCUAGCUUUUCCUGGCCAAACAUUGUUUGAAUUCAACACAAUCAUUUUAUCACAUCUUUUUUUGUGAUGGAUGCGGCUGAAGACUAUAACAUAUUGAUCCACUUCGCUCUUGGCGAGGUUGACGUUAACAGCGUGGACAGAGACGUGAAUUCAUUACUUUACAAAAUCUUAGUUCUUCAUAGCCAUAGACCUAUUCAUGUACAAGCCGUCAAAGCCUUGUUAGAGAAUGGCGCCACGUUUCAUAGAUUCUCAAUCAAAAAUAUAAGUGAAUUCUUGAUGAAAUUAGUUUGCGCAAACGAGUGUGAUCUUUUUACAAUAUCUCUACAAAGACUUUCGCCAGAUAAUGUGAUCUUUGAUCGCUCCACUGGCUUUAGUACUCAACUCUCCUUAUAUCAAUACUGCCUGUUAGAAAACAAGAAUUUUGCUAGACAAUGUGUUGAAGCUGACUUCCUUACCCAGGCAGAUAUUGAAUUCAUAAAGAAACAAAAUGAACAAAAAAACCUUUAGUAACUGUUUUGGAAACCCCACCUGAUUUAACUUUCUUCAAUAGAUGGGUUUUAGAGCCAAACUGAAGAUACAUUGAAUGUGCCACAUUUUAUAUUUUGAUUUGCAAAAAUUGUGAAACUCUGUUGACGAUGAAAGAUGUUGCUAUUGCUUGCUUUUGAAUUACGUAUUAAACAGGGAUGUGUACACUAAAGCUGUAUAUAACAACAAGUAUAAAAUACUUUUCUAUACAUUUUUACAGUAUCGUUAUAGUUACAUUUUUAUAAAUAACUAAAAACAAUAUGCACAAAUAGAAAGGAGUCAAAUGAUAAACACAACAGCUUUUUUUCUCUAUUUGUAGUCUGUAAUUGUCACCAAAAGGGGAGAGGUUUCAAAUUUCUACCAGAGGCUGGGCUCCAUUAAUAAAUUGCAGUGAAUAGUCAUCUGCCGAAAGUGAAAAAGUCUAAAUGUAACUAAACAGAGAUGGCUAGGAAAGAUUUCAGGAGUCAUUUAUAGAAAUCGCGUCUUAAUCAAAGAAAUCCUAGGAGUCGAACAUAAGGUUUGCGGGACAUGUUCUCCGACCAAAUAAAGAACGCUUAAUUAAUCGUUGCGAUGACAUGCAUUUAAAAAAGACUGAUCAGGGAACAGGUUAAUCCCUCUUACGACAAUUUUUUAAAGGUCUCCUUGAGAAGUGAGAGGGUUAGAGCUAUAUCACUAUGGCGGCCCUUGAGUCUGUUAGAGUCGUUUUGGGAUUGUUAACCAAGCAAUGGUACUGCUGUAUCACAAUUGUUCAGGAUUCUGUUAGGGUCAUGUGUAAAUUAUUUCAGGAUAGGUGUGUCGAUUAAAAAUUAAUUUUUCUCUCAUUACAAGGGGUUUUGAAAAAAAAACAAUUUAAUAAAUAAUAAAAUAUAGUUAAUUUGUCUUAAAAUAUUACAUUAUUCAUACAAGAUUCUUGGCUUUCUAUUGUCUGCCCUUGUCUAUAUUCUUUAGGAUUAUUGGUUUUGGUUAUUUUUGUUUCUAGUGUCUUCGCAGGCUCCAUUCAGUUGCGUCUUGUUUUCUUGUUCCUUUGUUUCCCGAUAUGUCUAGGACGAGGCUGCCGCUAAGAUUUAGACAUUGUCAUAAUGUUCUUGUUACGUUUCCACGGGCUUGCCGUGUUCUGUGAGUGUUGUACAGACACAGUUGAUGUUGACUUGUGACAUGCUCUCCGAUCAUGUGAUCAAAGAGGACGUAACCGCGAGGGAGAAAUAAUUCUUCAAAAGUGUUGACUUCCCUUUAAAAGACAGUUUCUGAGUAGUUUUCCAUAGAUAAAUAAAGUUCAAUUUGAUUCCUAUCCCGCAUCACUCAGCCCAAACUCUCUUUAACCCAGGUACAUACACACUCUCACACACUCGCAUAACCACUUAAACUAACUGACAUAAUACCAAUAGAGUAACUUUACAGAAUGAUUACAGUAUUUAGAUUUUUAUCUCUGAGGUCUGACAAUUUAGUCAAGGACAAUAAAUUAUACAAUAAUUACAAUUUCUGAAUUUCUAUCUAACCAGUAUAGUGAUCAAUUCUAUAUUCAAUUAUUUUUCUAAAUAUUAUGUCAAGAUUAUAAGGAUUUAAAGAUACAUUGUUAUUAACAACUUUAAUUCUACUGUGCUACACAAGACUUCUGUAUUCACUCACUAGUAUUACAUUAAAUUUAUGAAUUAUCUUACUAGUGAUUUUAGGCAAUUUAUUUAAAACAAUAGCUAGGUUAAGAUUAACAUUGGUGUUACAGUUUGCCUGUAGUAGGUUUUUCAUAGUGCAUCUAAACAUUAUAAAAUAUUUUACAUUUUAAAACAUUUGGCUUUCAUUGUUACCACUAUCUGUGUGACAUAAAACACAUGUGUGUACAUUUCUUUUCUUACUUCCUGCAGGGUUAAUCUGGAAGAUUAGUCUGUAUGUUAUUUCUCUAGCUUUGGGUGUAAUGUGUUUGCUGUGUAGAUUUAUGAAAGUAUCUCAGAAGAUUAUUAUAUUUAGCUCUCUACUCCAUUUGAUCCUAUUGAAUAAUCUUUCAUGUAACUGUUUCUUAAGUGUUGUAUAUGUGUCUUUUAAUUUACUGUGUAUUAGAUGUUCAUUGCCAGGGAGUAUACUUGAUAUCGAUCUCUAAAAUGGAUGUGUGUUUGUACCAAAAGUAGUGUGGGGUGUCAUUUUUUUAUUGGAAUUAUUUUAUUUAAUCUUAAGCCGUAGUAGUAUAUUGUUAAUGGAAAAUUGUUUGGGUUCUUGGCUACUUGUCCUAUGUAUUUUAAUCUAAGUGCUUGUAUAUUGGUUCUAAUGUCCUGUAAGUUUAUCCCCCCCCAUCCUCUUUGUUUUGUAUAAGUGUUGUGUGUUUAAUGUUUCUGAUAGUGCUUUAAAAAAAAAAUUCCUAAUGAUUGUGUUUAUGCUUGGUAUAAAAGUUGGUGGAGGUUCUGUGAUGUUUGCUAAAUAAACUAUCUUCGGGAUGACCAGGUUGUUUACUAGUAUUGCUCUACCAAAUAUAGUAGUUGCUGCAUAAUAAAAUCUUUUAAGUGUG